rnacentral:misc_RNA from 1 species
AACUCUCAAACCCAAGUUUUGGAUUUCGAUCCAUGCUUGAGUUUGGAUUUGGAUGUUUGCCGGUGAUAAGCCGACUCAUCUUAAAAGUAUUAGCUAGAUCUGUCUCUAUGACUGGUUUGACUUGGCAUAAUAAGUAUUUUGCUGAGGACAUCUUCGGAUGGCCAGGACCUAGACUAUUGUCUGCUAACUAAACCAUCACUUUAAGUGCAUCUUCGGAUGUUACUCAUUGUGUAACUUUGAC